rfam:Spiroplasma corruscae strain EC-1 chromosome, complete genome.
GCCCUCUUGGCGGAAUUGGUAGACGCAGCAGACUCAAAAUCUGCCGAGAAAUCAUGUCGGUUCGAGUCCGACAGAGGGCA